UACGGGAGGAGCAGUGGGGAAUAUUGCACAAUGGGCGCAAGCCUGAUGCAGCCAUGCCGCGUGUAUGAAGAAGGCCUUCGGGUUGUAAAGUACUUUCAGUCGUGAGGAAGGUGUUAAGGUUAAUAACCUUAGCAAUUGACGUUAGCGACAGAAGAAGCACCGGCUAACUCCGUGCCAGCAGCCGCGGUAAUACGGAGGGUGCGAGCGUUAAUCGGAAUUACUGGGCGUAAAGGGCACGCAGGCGGUUAAUUAAGUUGGAUGUGAAAUCCCCGGGCUUAACCUGGGAAUGGCAUUCAAGACUGGUUAGCUAGAGUCUUGUAGAGGGGGUAGAAUUCCAUGUGUAGCGGUGAAAUGCGUAGAGAUGUGGAGGAAUACCGGUGGCGAAGGCGGCCCCUGGGACAAAGACUGACGCUCAUGUGCGAAAGCGUGGGGAGCAAACAGGGAUUAGAUACC
rnacentral:rRNA from 1 species